rnacentral:pre_miRNA from 16 species
GCUCUCUUUUCACUAACCCAGAACAACUCGCUAACACGAACACUGAGAAAUGAUGUAAGUGAAUGUUCUGUGUUGGUGGAGAUGAUGAGU